CAGCCGCCACGGUAAAACGGAGGGGGCUAGCGUUGUUCGGAAUUACUGGGCGUAAAGCGCACGUAGGCGGCUUGGUAAGUUAGAGGUGAAAGCCUGGAGCUCAACUCCAGAAUUGCCUUUAAGACUGCCGAGCUAGCAGGUGAGAGAGGUAAGUGGAAUUCCGAGUGUAGAGGUGAAAUUCGUAGAUAUUCGGAAGAACACCAGUGGCGAAGGCGGCUUACUGGCUCAUACUGGACGCUGAGGUGCGAAAGCGUGGGGAGCAAACAGGAUUAGAUACCCCGGUAGUCCCUGUCUCUUAUAA
rnacentral:rRNA from 1 species